AAUUUCAGCCACGUCAUAACAACGUAAAUGACUCGGUCAAAUCAAAAUUAGGUCACCACUUCAAUCACAUAGCAAAUUGUCAUUUAAUUGCAGCAAUCAAAGCAAUAAAUACAAAUCACCUUAGGGUUCAAAAAUUAGGGUUCGAAAAGUGGGGCGUUACAAAGACAAAGUGAGUGAUGUAGUAAAUCCCUUCUCUUCUCUUCCUUUAUCUUUCUCGAUUUCCACCUCCACCAAAACUCCAAAAGGGGCAGCUCCUAGACCUGCAAAUUAACACAAAAUGAGGUUAGAAAAUGGACUCAUAAGAAAGGGGAAGGAGGUGCAAGCUCGAAUAGAAAUAUAGAGGAAGCAGGCUGAUUGGUACAGCCAAGAAACUGCCAUUUUUGGGCAGUGAGACAGCCACUUUGUCAUGUUCUCAUCUUACACCAAAAAGGGUAUUAGAUGUUGACACAUCAAUAAAGGGAAGGGAGGACCCAAGCCCAAGUAAGAGGAGGUUUUAGUAGACAAAAUAGGGCAGCCAGGGGCUGCAGUGUAGGGACUGAAGUCAGCCAUCUUGGCCACUUUCCCAAGUUUCAUCAAGGGAGGAUAACAAACAAAUGGUCACAGAGAGAGACAAGCUCACUAGGAGAGCUCCAAAUGGACAAAACCAAAUCCUCUUUUCCCAUCAUCCGAGGCUGAGGUAACAGCCCAGAAGAAGCAACCAAAACUUUCACCAAAAUAGCAUUAAGAGCACAAUCAUCAAACACAAAAGGAGGCCAAGUGUGGAGCCUCGGAAUAGAAGCACAGUUCCCCAAAGUUUAGGCACAUACACAGCCAAGAGAUCAGCCAAAUCCAAGGCUGAAAGGCAGCCAUAGAAACAGCCCGUAUGUUACACCAAAAAGUCAUAGAUAGCCUACUUACAAAGCUCAAAAGAGAGCAAGCUGGCAGCCCCAAAAUAGGAGGCUUUGUCCCCAAGUCUCAGUCACAAACAGCCAAGAGCUAAAGCUAUAUAAACAGCCCUCCUCACUCCAUUCUCCCCACACUUUAGGCACCAAGGAUUCACAUAGCAUAAGGAGGGCAGCAAGGGGAAGGAGCAGGGAGUGAGGUCGAGCAAAGAUCGACACAAGCGGUAGUCAAAACCGAGAGGCUAUCUCCGCGAGCUAAGGUCGGAGUCAGGAAAAAUCAAGCUAAGAAGUUUAAGCAAACGAGGUUGAGCAGUGAUGACGGCGGGCGGUGUUGAGCAUAGACGAUGAAGAUCCUUCGAUAGAACAAUACUCGGAUGUGACGUGUCUCCAUACACGACGUUAUCUGCUCUUGACUCUUCCGCUGCAAUGUAAAAGUCGAGUUUGCACUCUGUGUAUCAUGCACUCUGAUAUAUAUUAUUCGAGUAAUUUCAGUUCAAGUUUCAGUUGUGCCACAGUUUUCCCCUUUCUUCCCCGCUUCUUUCAUCCUCCCCUAUUAGUCGAGAAUUACCCAUUUUUAUUAUCCUUAAUGAGAAUUGGGUCGUGACACAUCUUGCACGCAAGGGUAAAGGAAUGCAAAGAUACAUUAGGGUUCAACUUGGCGGCAAUGGACCAUGUAAUGUAGUUAGACCUGAUCGAUCGAUCCCCUUAUUAUUGAUUUCAAUUGAUUUCUCUCCCAGCAAUUGAUGGCUGCAAAGUCUGAUGCACCGUUUCGGGAUGCAAAAACGAAAUUAAUGGAGAUUCGCGCACAGAAGGAAGAAGAAGCAAAAGAAGGUGGAUGACGGCCACGUUUGGUCGUGAUUCUUGGGUAACAGCCUUAUGGCCAAAUAUGUGUCGUUCAAGCAAGUAUAUUCCUCUAGAUUUAUCCACGACUUAAAAUAGUUUUAUUCUAUUAAUUUAACAUCGUGAAUAAACUAAA